rnacentral:lncRNA from 12 species
AGAGAGAGAGUGACAAGGAGAUGAAGGAAACAAAGUGAAAGAAGAGAGAGAGAGAAGAAACAAAGUAAAAGGAGAGAGAGAGGAGAGAGUGAGAGGAUGGGGAUAUACCUUUGUGAUAGAAGAGAGAGAGAGAGAGAGAGAGAGAGAGGUAAAGGAAAUGAAGAAAAAGGGAGAGAGGGAGAGAAAGAUGAAGGAAACCAAGUGAAAGAAGAGAGAGAGAGAGAGAGAGAGAGAGAGAAAGGAAACAAAGUAAAAAGGGAGAGAGAGAGGUAAAGGAAGGAAGUAAAGAGAGAGAGAGAGAGAGUGAGAGGAUGGGGAUAUACCUUUGUGAUAGAAGAGAGAGAGAGAGAGGUAAAGGAAAUGAAGAAAAAGGGAGAGAGGGAGAGAAAGAUGAAGGAAACCAAGUGAAAGAAGAGAGAGAGAGAGAGAGAGAGAGAGAGAAAGGAAACAAAGUAAAAAGGGAGAGAGAGAGGUAAAGGAACGAAGUAAAGAGAGAGAGAAAGAGAUGAAGGAAACAAAGUGAAAGAAGAGAGAGAGAGAGAGAGAAGGGGGGGGGGGGGGGGGGGGGGGGGGGGGGGGGGGGGGGGGGGGGGGGGGGGGGG